AGAAGCACCGGCUAACUCCGUGCCAGCAGCCGCGGUAAUACGGAGGGUGCAAGCGUUAAUCGGAAUUACUGGGCGUAAAGCGCACGCAGGCGGUUUGUUAAGUCAGAUGUGAAAUCCCCGGGCUCAACCUGGGAACUGCAUCUGAUACUGGCAAGCUUGAGUCUCGUAGAGGGGGGUAGAAUUCCAGGUGUAGCGGUGAAAUGCGUAGAGAUCUGGAGGA
rnacentral:rRNA from 1 species